rnacentral:rRNA from 1 species
ACGAACGCUGGCGGCGUGCUUAACACAUGCAAGUCGAACGGUGAAGCCCAGCUUGCUGGGUGGAUCAGUGGCGAACGGGUGAGUAACACGUGAGCAACCUGCCCUCCACUUCGGGAUAAGCCUUGAAAACGGGGUCUAAUACCGGAUAUGAGCGCUCAUCGCAUGGUGGGUGUUGGAAAGUUUUUCGGUGGGGGAUGGGCUCGCGGCCUAUCAGCUUGUUGGUGGGGUGAUGGCCUACCAAGGCUUCGACGGGUAGCCGGCCUGAGAGGGCGACCGGCCACACUGGGACUGAGACACGGCCCAGACUCCUACGGGAGGCAGCAGUGGGGAAUAUUGCACAAUGGGCGCAAGCCUGAUGCAGCGACGCCGCGUGAGGGAUGACGGCCUUCGGGUUGUAAACCUCUUUCAGCAGGGAAGAAGCGCAAGUGACGGUACCUGCAGAAGAAGCGCCGGCUAACUACGU